rnacentral:rRNA from 1 species
AUUGAACGCUGGCGGAAUGCUUACACAUGCAAGUCGAACGGCAGCACGGACUUCGGUCUGGUGGCGAGUGGCGAACGGGUGAGUAAUGUAUCGGAACGUGCCCAGUCGUGGGGGAUAACGUAGUGAAAAUUACGCUAAUACCGCAUACGAUCUAUGGAUGAAAGCGGGGGAUCGCAAGACCUCGCGCGAUUGGAGCGGCCGAUAUCAGAUUAGGUAGUUGGUGGGGUAAAGGCCCACCAAGCCAACGAUCUGUAGCUGGUCUGAGAGGACGACCAGCCACACUGGAACUGAGACACGGUCCAGACUCCUACGGGAGGCAGCAGUGGGGAAUUUUGGACAAUGGGCGAAAGCCUGAUCCAGCCAUUCCGCGUGCAGGAUGAAGGCCCUCGGGUUGUAAACUGCUUUUGUACAGAACGAAAAGGUUUCUACUAAUACUAGGAGCUCAUGACGGUACUGUAAGAAUAAGCACCGGCUAACUACGUGCCAGCCGCCGCAGUAA